UACGGAGGGGGCAAGCGUUAUUCGGAAUUAUUGGGCGUAAAGGGCGCGUAGGCGGCUUGGUAAGUCAAAGGUGAAAUCCCUCGGCUCAACUGAGGAAUUGCCUUUGAAACUGCCUGGCUUGAGGCCGGGAGGGGGUAGCGGAAUUCCCAGUGUAGCGGUGAAAUGCGUAGAUACUGGGAGGAACACCAAUGGCGAAGGCAGCUCGCUGGAACGGUACUGACGCUGAGGCGCGAAAGCGUGGGGAGCGAACAGG
rnacentral:rRNA from 1 species